rnacentral:rRNA from 1 species
GCAUAUCAAUAAGCGGAGGAAAAGAAACCAACAGGGAUUGCCUCAGUAACGGCGAGUGAAGCGGCAAGAGCUCAAAUUUGAAAGCUGGCCCCCUCGGGGUCCGCAUUGUAAUUUGCAGAGGAUGCUUCGGGAGCGGCCCCCAUCUAAGUGCCCUGGAACGGGCCGUCAUAGAGGGUGAGAAUCCCGUAUGGGAUGGGGUGUCCGCGCCCGUGUGAAGCUCCUUCGACGAGUCGAGUUGUUUGGGAAUGCAGCUCUAAAUGGGUGGUAAAUUUCAUCUAAAGCUAAAUAUUGGCCGGAGACCGAUAGCGCACAAGUAGAGUGAUCGAAAGAUGAAAAGCACUUUGAAAAGAGAGUUAAAAAGCACGUGAAAUUGUUGAAAGGGAAGCGCUUGCGACCAGACUCGCCCGCGGGGUUCAGCCGGCAUUCGUGCCGGUGUACUUCCCCGUGGGCGGGCCAGCGUCGGUUUGGGCGGCCGGUCAAAGGCCCUCGGAAUGUAACGCCUCUCGGGGCGUCUUAUAGCCGAGGGUGCCAUGCGGCCAGCCCGGACCGAGGAACGCGCUUCGGCUCGGACGCUGGCAUAAUGGUCGUAAGCGACCCGUCUUGAAACACGGACCAAGGAGUCUAACAUCUACGCGAGUGUUCGGGUGUCAAACCCGUGCGCGCAGUGAAAGCGAACGGAGGUGGGAACCCUUUGGGUGCACCAUCGACCGAUCCUGAUGUCUUCGGAUGGAUUUGAGUAAGAGCGUAGCUGUUGGGACCCGAAAGAUGGUGAACUAUGCCUGAAUAGGGCGAAGCCAGAGGAAACUCUGGUGGAGGCUCGCAGCGGUUCUGACGUGCAAAUCGAUCGUCGAAUUUGGGUAUAGGGCGAAAGAC